rnacentral:rRNA from 1 species
UACGUAGGGUGCAAGCGUUGUCCGGAAUUAUUGGGCGUAAAGAGCUCGUAGGCGGUUUGUCGCGUCUGCUGUGAAAACCCGAGGCUCAACCUCGGGCCUGCAGUGGGUACGGGCAGACUAGAGUGCGGUAGGGGAGAUUGGAAUUCCUGGUGUAGCGGUGGAAUGCGCAGAUAUCAGGAGGAACAUCCGUGGCGAAGGCGGCUCUCUGGGACGGUACUGACGCUGAGACGCGAAAGCGUGGGGAGCGAACAGG